GGAUAGUGCCUAUUAAGCGCUUCCUGUCCAAUGGAUCCUGUUAACUGAUAUAAACAACUGUAUUCAACAUACUAAGUCUGAUUAGGGACAGGAAGUGAUGAUCGACAGAAUAAAUAGCGCACUGUAGACAGCUCAGUACAGCAGUGAAUAUCGCAACACAAGCAAUAAUACUAUUAUGGUUUAUCUGUUAGAACUGCUUAUCUGUUGUUAGUGUUGUUUAUCUGUUACUACAAUGGACAAUUCAUGGCAGCCAAAUGAAUACCGUCCAAGUCUGUUUUUUAAGAGAAGUCUGAUUUUUCAGACUUUUGUUUUGAUGAAUACUGGUGGUGGCAGCAUACUACCAGACCUAGUAUGCUAAAACACAGUUGUAUUAUUUUGUAUCUGAGCCUGUAUUGAACUAUUGAAUAAAGAUUUUGAUGAUUAAUCCAUGUUGACCUGUUUUAAUUUACCAGAUUAGGGACAGGAAGCGUUUUCUUCACCAGUAUCAGACUACCGAUCCUCUACCUCCAGUACGAGGAUCCGAAAUGCUCAUCUAUAUUCUAUUCUUAUAUAGGAAUCCUAUUGAAAACAAGUGCUUUCGAGAACUGAAGGAUUAUUUGUACUAAUUUGAUUUCCAAAUUUGAUGAA